UUAUCAAGGGGUGCUCGUCAAGGUGAUGGGCUGAGAUUAAACCCUCCAUACCUGAUUCGGGCAAUACCGACGUAGGGAUGAUAAGU
rnacentral:ncRNA from 1 species